rnacentral:rRNA from 1 species
GACGAACGCUGGCGGCGUGCUUAACACAUGCAAGUCGAACGGAAAGGCCCUGCUUUUGUGGGGUGCUCGAGUGGCGAACGGGUGAGUAACACGUGAGUAACCUGCCCUUGACUUUGGGAUAACUUCAGGAAACUGGGGCUAAUACCGGAUAGGAGCUCCUGCUGCAUGGUGGGGGUUGGAAAUUUUCGGCGGGUGGGGAUGGACUCGCGGCUUAUCAGCUUGUUGGUGGGGUAGUGGCUUACCAAGGCUUUGGCGGGUAGCCGGCCUGAGAGGGUGACCGGCCACAUUGGGACUGAGAUACGGCCCAGACUCCUACGGGAGGCAGCAGUGGGGAAUAUUGCACAAUGGGCGGAAGCCUGAUGCAGCAACGCCGCGUGCGGGAUGACGGCCUUCGGGUUGUAAACCGCUUUCGCCUGUGACGAAGCGUGAGUGACGGUAAUGGGUAAAGAAGCACCGGCUAACUACGUG